rnacentral:tRNA from 1 species
AAGAUGUUAGUAAAAAUUACAAAGCCUUGUCAUGACUUAAUUGUUAGCUAACACAUCUUG